CUCUAAAAUCCACUCCCUGAAGGCGCCCAAUCUUUUCUCAUCUCAGAAGCUAAGCAGGGUUGGUCCUGGAUAGUAUUUGGAUAGGAGACAACCUGGGAAUACAGGGUGCUAUAGGCU
rnacentral:rRNA from 1 species